AUUACAACUGGGUGUGUAUUGGGAAGACACCCACCAGACAACAGGCCAUCAGAUUUGAUGGGCCAUCAGGAAGGAACAACAAGACUGUGAAGAUACUCAUGUCUCUCCCUCCUGGGAGGCAUCCUGUGAUGUAACUGUGACACUACUAGGUCAGGUGGUCUUGUCACCUGAUACUAAACAUUUUCUUGGACUUCUUGUAACUUUUCAUGAAAAGGGGAAGGG